rnacentral:piRNA from 1 species
UGCUAUGUCUGAGGAAUUAUCAAGGA